rnacentral:rRNA from 1 species
CCUACGGGAGGCAGCAGUGGGGAAUUUUGGACAAUGGGGGCAACCCUGAUCCAGCAACGCCGCGUGAAUGAAGAAGGCCUUAGGGUUGUAAAGUUCUUUUAUUUGGGAGCAAAGUUUUGAUUGGAUAAUAAUCAAAAUGUGAGAGUACUAAAUGAAUAAGCACCGGCUAACUACGUGCCAGCAGCCGCGGUAAUACGUAGGGUGCGAACGUUAAUCGGAAUUAUUGGGCGUAAAGCGAGUGUAGGCUGUUAUAUAAGUUUAAUGUGAAAUCCCUGAGCUUAACUUAGGAACUGCAUUGAAUACUGUAUAGCUGGAGUUAGUCAGAGGGAGGUAGAAUUCCAAGUGUAGCGGUGGAAUGCGUAGAUAUUUGGAGGAACACCAGUGGCGAAGGCGGCCUCCUGGGAUAUAACUGACGCUGAGACUCGAAAGCAUGGGUAGCAAACAGGAUUAGAUACCCCGGUAGUC